rnacentral:lncRNA from 1 species
UCCAAUUCCACUCUUUGGUUGUAUUCAUUGAACAAGAGUUUUAUUCUACACGUUGAUUCACAUGAAUAAAGCUGAAUUAACUUCUUAUAAGUUAUAACCCACCAAGAAAUUAAAGGAAAAAUCUAUACAUCUUAACACAAAAUACAAUACAAAAUACAAUAGACAAAUUAUAAACAACUAACCAGUAUAGUUUGAAAAAAUGGGUAUUCACAAACAUCAACCGAAGAUAAAAAAACCCAAUAUUUCAUCACAUAAUACUCAUAAAAAAAAGGGCAGUUCUUUACUGAUCAGUUCAAACUACAGAGGAUCAGAUGCAAAGAAUCAACUAAACAUAAAUUCAAAAAUUCACAUUAAACUUAUGUCACAACUGAAGCAUCGAAUCAUCACAUAAGAGGAACGAACUGAAACAGAGGAAGAAGAAAACCUUGAACCAAGAGCAAAUAAGAAAAACAGUUCAGGACCUCGAUGAGGUGGAAUCUCGUCGGACAACACUCGAACCUCGACGGAAUAAGAUGCAGACCAUGUUGUCCGAAACUCCAAGAAUCUCAACUUUGAUUUUCAAUUAAUCGAAGACAAGGAAAUUGAAAUGCGACUAAAACAAAAGCUUAUAUUGGUGUGUAUGUUGUGAGCAGUGAGGAGUGGCGACUAGAGUAGAUUGGAGGAGUUCUGGCUAGCGGCUUUCGAUGAACGAUGGUGCGUGUGGAGAAGGAGAUCAAGCAUUUCCUCUGUACUAUUAUCGGCGCUGCUUCGUCUCUUAGACUUAGGGAUCUCUAGGUUAGCUCCUCAUUGAAGAAGAAGAAUGGGGGUCGUUUAGGGUGGGGUUGUUUGUUUUGUUGAGCUGCUGAAGGGGUGCUGUGGUGUUGUUGUGGGAAUUGGAGAUGAAGGUCGCCUAUAGGUUGAUAAAGAAGAUAAAGGACAGGGAGGGGUCGUGUAUUUUUGUGUAUUGUGGCGCAGCAUUUCAUCUCUUCCCCCAGGCGUUUGCUCCCCUCUAACCUAGGUCUUUAGGUUUUAUUAUAUUGUUUCUGUAUUUUUUUGAAGCCCCAUUUAGAAACUUAGGUGUUAGGUGUCUCAAAUUGCUG